rnacentral:lncRNA from 1 species
GGGGUUGUAGAAAAGAAGAACACAAUGUUGUAAUAAUAUUGAUUGUAUUUGAAAGAAAAUAAAAUAAAAAUGUAAUAUGUAAAAAGCAUGUGAUGUGAAUGUUUGUAAUACCUUAGUUGUUUAUGUUGUUUGAUACCUUCCUUAUACAAUCGUUGUAUGAAUACUGUUUUUGUUUGGAAUCUCUUGUAUUGUACUGUUUGUGACGCCUAGGACGUACAGGAAAAACUCUGUCCGUUUUGCGGUCUGUUGACGACUCGAAUCCGAUCAAAUAGGCGGGUCAUAGGGCGUGACAGAUAAAGUGGUAUCGGAGCAUAAAGUAGAGAAUAGGGAUGGUUUAGAGGAA